rnacentral:rRNA from 1 species
UAGGGAAUCUUCGGCAAUGGGGGGAACCCUGACCGAGCAACGCCGCGUGAGUGAAGAAGGUUUUCGGAUCGUAAAGCUCUGUUGUUAAGGAAGAACGAGUGUGAGAAUGGAAAGUUCAUACUGUGACGGUACUUAACCAGAAAGGGACGGCUAACUACGUGCCAGCAGCCGCGGUAAUACGUAGGUCCCGAGCGUUGUCCGGAUUUAGUGGGCGUAAAGCGAGCGCAGGCGGUUAGAUAAGUCUGAAGUUAAAGGCAGUGGCUCAACCAUUGUGGGCUUUGGACACUGUUUAACUUGAGUGCAGAAGGGGAGAGUGGAGUUCCAUGUGUAGCGGUGAAAUGCGUAGAUAUAUGGAGGAACACCGGUGGCGGAAGCGGCUCUCUGGUCUGUAACUGACGCUGAGGCUCGAAAGCGUGGGGAGCGAACAGG